UACGGAGGGUGCGAGCGUUAAUCGGAAUAACUGGGCGUAAAGGGCACGCAGGCGGGCUUUUAAGUGAGGUGUUAAAUCCCCGGGCUUAACCUGGGAAUAGCAUUUCAGACUGGGAGUCUAGAGUACUUUAGGGAGGGGUAGAAUUCCACGUGUAGCGGUGAAAUGCGUAGCGAUGUGGAGGAAUACCGAAGGCGAAGGCAGCUCCUUGGGAAUGGACUGACGCUGAUGUGCGAAAGCGUGGGGAGCAAACAGG
rnacentral:rRNA from 1 species